rnacentral:rRNA from 1 species
CCUACGGGAGGCAGCAGUGAGGAAUAUUGGUCAAUGGGAGAGAUCCUGAACCAGCCAAGCCGCGUGAGGGAAGACGGCCCUAUGGGUUGUAAACCUCUUUUGUCGGAGAACAAAACCCGGGACGUGUCCCGGACUGCGUGUAUCCGAAGAAAAAGCAUCGGCUAACUCCGUGCCAGCAGCCGCGGUAAUACGGAGGAUGCGAUCGUUAUCCGGAUUUAUUGGGUUUAAGGGGUGCGUAGGCGGUCCGUUAAGUCAGCGGUAAAAGUGCGGGGCUCAACCCCGUCGAGCCGUUGAAACUGGCAGACUUGAGUUGGCGAGAAGUACGCGGAAUGCGCGGUGUAGCGGUGAAAUGCAUAGAUAUCGCGCAGAACUCCGAUUGCGAAGGCAGCGUACCGGCGCCAGACUGACGCUGAGGCACGAAAGCGUGGGGAUCGAACAGGAUUAGAUACCCCAGUAGUC